rnacentral:rRNA from 1 species
CGCCAGACUCCUACGGGAGGCAGCAGUGAGGAAUAUUGGUCAAUGGGCGGAAGCCUGAACCAGCCAAGUCGCGUGAGGGAAGAAGGCCCUGCGGGUCGCAGACCUCUUUGGACGGGGAGCAAGGCCGCCGACGUGUCGGCGGAAGGAGAGUACCCGUAGAACAAGCAUCGGCUAACUCCGUGCCAGCAGCCGCGGUAAUACGGAGGAUGCGAGCGUUAUCCGGAAUCAUUGGGCGUAAAGAGUUCGUAGGGGGCAGAUUAAGUCUGGUGUUAAAUGCAGAAGCUCAACUUCUGUGCGGCACUGGAUACUGGUAAGCUUGAAUGCGGUAGAGGUAAAGGGUAUUCCUGGUGUAGCGGUGAAAUGCGUAGAUAUCAGGAGGAACAUCGGUGGCGUAAGCGCUGUACUGGGCCGUAAUUGACACUGAGGAACGAAAGCCGGGGUAGCAAAUGGGAUUAGAUACCCGUGUACAA